rnacentral:rRNA from 1 species
GACGAACGCUGGCGGCGUGCCUAAUAUAUGCAAGUCGAACGCUUCUUUCCUCCCGAGUGCUUGCACUCAAUUGGAAAGAGGAGUGGCGGACGGGUGAGUAACACGUGGGUAACCUACCCAUCAGAGGGGGAUAACACUUGGAAACAGGUGCUAAUACCGCAUAACAGUUUAUGCCGCAUGGCAUAAGAGUGAAAGGCGCUUUCGGGUGUCGCUGAUGGAUGGACCCGCGGUGCAUUAGCUAGUUGGUGAGGUAACGGCUCACCAAGGCCACGAUGCAUAGCCGACCUGAGAGGGUGAUCGGCCACACUGGGACUGAGACACGGCCCAGACUCCUACGGGAGGCAGCAGUAGGGAAUCUUCGGCAAUGGACGAAAGUCUGACCGAGCAACGCCGCGUGAGUGAAGAAGGUUUUCGGAUCGUAAAACUCUGUUGUUAGAGAAGAACAAGGACGUUAGUAACUGAACGUUCCCCUGACGUAUCUAACCAGA